GGCUCGCCUGCGCCCAGGCUGCCGUUGAGGAACAGCACCCCCAGGGCUCUGUCGAUGGCAAAGACGCUCGGCUGAGGGUUGGCGAUGGCGUACCGGAUGAGUCCAUUCCGCCCACUGUCUCUGUCUUCUGCACGUGCGAGAGACUACUGUGCAAUGUCGUACUUCCUAGCCUGUUGAAAAGCGGACACAUGGAUUUAAGAUGUUUUUGGUGUAUAAAAAGAAGGUCCAAUGGGACAAGAGCAAGCUACAGGACUAUCUUCAGGCACAUCUUCAUAAACUAAAAAAGUGUACUUAGGCUUUUCAAACUCAGAAGUCACCAGAGUUGUCUGGAAAAUGUGUAUGGUAACGUCGGCAUUAAUGAGAGCUGCGAGUCCACCACCGUCUUGAGCAGUGACCAUCAGUGAAAGUGUACUCGACUCCAAAUGACUAAGAGUUUUCCACUAGGUUUUAAAAAGAAAAUGCCUGGAGUUUUUGAAGGGAUUCAAGAUGGCGCGGUAAGAACAACUCAGGAUCACAGCUCUUAGUGAAUGCUCAGAGGGUGAGUCAAAGCCACAUUUCCAGACGGAUCUUUGUUGCCCACAGAAUGGGGGAAUUCCCAGGUGUAGGAAAGACACGGGACACAAGCGCAGCCAUCUUGGCUGUUGAAGCCACUUCGGCCAGCGCUGCAGCACAGCGGCAAUCCACAACAAUCCGCACAAAACACACUGACCCGGGUGCCCUGCUAAACUGGCAAUCUGAGAUUUGGGAGGGCAGAUUAGCAUAUCCAUCUGAUUAAACGGGACUUGGACAGUGAGCCAGACCAGGAGAUUCCUGGGAAGUGGCGUUUGAGCCAGCGCAGUGGCUCGCUGCACGGGAAAUCACACAGAUCCUGGUGCCCUACCAGUGGGCAACUGAAACACCUGGGAGAGAGCCAUCCAUUCAACUUAAAAAAAAAAAAAAGGAAGGCGCUCUGAGGCAGGGAGCCAGGCGAGCAGGCUCGGUGGGUUUCACCCCCACAGGGACAAACAAAACAGCAAUUCGAAACACUCCGGGUGGAGAGUUUCACUGUAGGCACAGCUGAACCCAGGACGAUGCAGCUCGGUGGGGGAGGGGCGUCCACCAUGACCAAGGCAAUCCGCCCCUACUGAGGUACACUCCCAUUGCUGAUGCAGCCCACUGUUGCUGAGGCAAUCCACCAUAACAGAGAGAGUCCGCUGCAGGGCAGGGCCCGCAGCAACAGGGCGGACCCCACAUCAGCAGGGCGGAUCCUCGGCAGGCAAAUAGUGACUAGACUGCCUCCUAGCUGGGCAGGAUAGUGCAACGGACACUCAAAAAGAAUGCCCCAACUGCCCGAGACAAAGCAUCUGAGGAAAAAAAGGGGUUUUAAGAGUUCUGCUGCAGCAGACAUAAAUGUAGCAGCCUAACAGCCCUGAAUGAACAAUGGAGCUCACAGCUCAGCACUUGAGCUCCUAUAAAGUACAGACCAUCUCCUCAAGCAGCUCCCUGACCCCUGUAUAUCCAGAGUCACCUCAAAAAGGACUGAUCAGACUGACAUUUGGCGGGCAUCAUUCUGGGACAAAGAUAGCAGAAGAAGAAACUGGUAGCAUCCCUCACUGUUCUGCAGCUGCUACAAGUGUACCCCAGACAAGCAGGGCCUGGAGUGGACCUCAGCAGUCAUACAGCAGAGGAGCUAGUCUGGUAGAAGGAAAACCAAGUAACAAAAAUACCUCAUCAUCAACAAUCUGGGGGUGCACUCAGAGACCCAAUCAAAAAGUCAGCAACUACUCAGAUGACAGGUGGAUAAAUCCACAAAGAUGGGAAGAAACCAGCACAAAAAGGAGAAAAACACCCAAAACCAGAACACCUCGCCUCCUACAAUGAACGAAAACUCCUCACCAGCAAGGGAACAAAGCUGGAUGGAGAAUGACUGUGACAAAAUGAUAGAAUCAGACUUCAGAAGGUGGGUAAUGAGAAACUUCUGUGAGCUAAAAGAACAUGUUCUAAAUCAAUGCAAAGAAACUAAGAACGUUGAAAAAAGGUUUGAAAAAAGAUUCGAGGAAAUGAUAAGAAUGGAUAACUUAGAGAGGAAUAUGAAUGAAUUGAAGGAGCUGAAAAACACAACAAGAGAACUUUGCAAAGCAUACACAAGUUUCAACAACAGAAUUGACCAAGCAGAAGAAAGAAUAUCAGAAGUCGAAGAUCAACUCAAUGAAAUAAAACGAGAAACCAAGAUUAGAGAAAAAAAAGGCAAAAAGGAAUGAACAAAGUCUCCAAGAAAUGUGGGACUAUGUGAAGAGACCUAACCUACAUUUGAUAGGUGUACCAGAAGGGGACGAAAAGAACAAAUUCAAGCUGGAAAAUACUCUUCAGGAUACUAUCCAGGAAAAUUUCCCCAACCUAGCAAGGCAGGCCAACACUCAAAUCCAGGAAAUACAGAGAACACCACAAAGAUACUCAUCAAAAAGAGCAACCCCAAGGCACAUAAUCUUCAGAUUCACCAGGGUUGAAAUGAAGGAGAAAAUACUAAGGGCAGCCAGAGAAAAAGGUCGGGUCACCCACAAAGGGAAGCCCAUCAGACUCAUAGUGGAUCUCUCGGCAGAAACUCUACAAGCAAGAAGAGAGUGGGGGCCAAUAUUCAACAUCCUUAAAGAAAAGAACUUUCAACCCAGAAUUUCAUAUCCAGCCAAACUGAGCUUCAGAAGUGAAGGAAAAAUAAAAUCCUUUGUGAACAAGCAAGUACUCAGAGAUUUUGUCACCACCAGGCCUGCUUUACAAGAGCUCCUGAAAGAGGCACUACACAUAGAAAGGAACAACCAGUACCAGCCAUUCCAAAAGCACACUAAAUGCUAAAGAGCAUCAACAAAAUGAAGAAUCUUCAUCAACUAAUGAGCAAAACAGGCAGCUAGCAUCAAAAUGGCAAUAUCAAAUUCACACAUAACAAUAUUAACCCUAAAUGUAAAUGGACUAAAUGCACCAAUCAAAAGACACAGACUGGCAAAUUGGAUAAAAAAUCAAAACCCAUCAGUGUGCUGUAUCCAGGAAACCCAUCUCACAUGCAAGGAUACACAAAGGCUCAAAAUAAAGGGAUGGAGGAAGAUUUACCAAGCAAAUGGAGAGCAAAAAAAAAGCAGGAGUUGCAAUUCUCAUCUCUGAUAAAAUAGACUUUAAAACAACAAAGAUCAAAAGAGACAAGGAAAGUCAUUACAUAAUGGUAAAAGGAUCGAUACAACAAGAAGAGCUAACAAUCCUAAACAUAUAUGGACCCAAUACAGGAGCACCCAGAUAUAUAAGGCAUGUUCUUAAUGACUUACAAAGAGACUUAGACUCCCACACAAUAAUAGUGGGAGACUUUAACACUCCACUGUCAAUAUUAGACAGAUCAACCAGACAGAAAAUUAACAAGGAUAUCCAGGGCUUGGACUCAGACUUGGAACAAGCAAACCUGAUAGACAUUUACAGACCUCUCCACCCCAAAUCCACAGAAUAUACAUUCUUCUCAGCACCACAUCACACCUACUCUAAAAUUGACCACAUAAUUGGAAGUAAAGCUCCUCAGCAAAUGCAAAACAAUGGAAAUCAUAACAAACAGUCUCUCAGACCACAGUGCAAUCAAGUUAGAACUCAGAAUUCAGAAAGUAACCCAGAACCACACAGGUUCAUGGAAACUGAACAACUGGCUCUUGAAUGUUGACUGGAUAAACAAUGAAAUGAAGGCAGAAAUAAAGAAGUUCUUUGAAACCAACGAGAACGAAGACACAACAUACCAGAAUCUCUGGGACACAUUUAAAGCAGUCUCUAGAGGAAAAUAUACAGCAAUAAGUGCCCAUAUGAGAAGAAUGGAGAGAUCCAAAAUUGACACCCUAUCGUCAAAACUGAAAGAGCUAGAGGAGCAAGAUCAAAAAUACUUAAAACCUAGCAGAAGACAAGAAAUAACUAAGAUCAGAGCAGAACUGAAGGAGAUAGAGACAUGAAAAACUCUUCAAAACAUCAAUAAAUCCAAGAGCUGGUUUUUUGAAAAGAUCAACAAAAUAGACAGACCACUAGCCAGACUGAUUAAAAAGAAAAGAGAGAACAACCAAAUAGAUGCAAUAAAAAAUGAUAAAGGGGAAAUCACCACAGAUUCCACAGAAAUUCAAAAUAUCAUUAGAGAAUAUUACAAACAACUCUAUGCACAUAAACUAGUAAACCUGGAAGAAAUGGAUACAUUACUGGACACCUGUGUCUUCCGAAGCCUAAACCAGGAGGAAGCCAAAACUAUGAAUAGACCAAUAACAAGGUCUGAAGUCGAGGCAGCAAUUAAGAGCCUACCACACAAAAAAAGCCCAGGUCGACAUGGGUUCACAGCCAAAUUCUACCAGACACACAAAGAGGAGUUGGUACCAUUCCUUCUGAAACUAUUCCAAAUAAUCUAAAAAGAGGGAAUCCUUCCCAAAUCGUUUUAUGAGACCAACAUCAUCCUGUUACCAAAACGCGGCAGAGACCCAACAAGAAAAGAAAACUUCAGGCCAAUAUCCAGGAUGAACAUAGAUGCAAAAAUCUUCAAUAAAAUAUUGGCAAGCCGAUUGCAAUAGCACAUCAAAAAACUUAUCCAUCAUGAUCAAGUAGGAUUCAUCCCAGUGAUGCAAGGCUGGUUCAACAUACACAAGUGUAUAAAUGUAAUUCACCACAUAAACAGAACCAAAAACAAAAACCACAUGAUUAUCUCAAUUGAUGCAGAGAAGGCAUUUGACAAAAUUCAACAGCCCUUUAUGCUAAAAACCCUCAAUAAACUCGGUAUCGGUGGAAUGUAUCUCAAAGUAGCAAAAGCUAUUGACGACAAACCAACAGCCAAUAUCAUACUGAAUGGGCAAAAACUGGAAGCAUUCCCUUUGAUAUCCGGCACAAGACAAGGAUGCCCUCUUUCACCACUCCUAUUCAAUAUAGUACUGGAAGUUCUAGCCAGAGCAAUCAGGCAAGAAAAAGAAAUAAAGCAUAUUCAAAUAGGAAAGGUGGAAGUCAAAUUGUCACUAUUUGCAGACGACAUGAUGGUAUACCUAGAAGACCCCAUUGCCUCAGCCCAAAAACUCCUGAAACUAAUAAGCAACUUCAACAAAGUCUCAGGAUAUAAAGUCAAUGUGCAAAAAUCACAAGCAUUCCUAUACACCAAUAACAGACUUAAAGAGAGCCAAAUCAAGAAUGAACUGCCAUUCACAAUUGCUACAAAAAGAAUAAAAUACCUUGGAAUACAACUCACAAGGAACAUAAGGGACCUCUUCAAGGAAAACUACAAACCACUUCUCAAUGAAAUAAGAGAGGACACAAACAGAUGGAGAAACAUUCCAUGUUCACAGUUAGGAAGAAUUAAUAUCGUGAAAAUGUCUAUAUUGCCCAAAGUAAUUUACAGACUCAACGCUAUCUCCAUCAAGCUACCAUUGACUUUCUUCACAGAACUGGAAAAACCACCUUAAACUUCAUAUGGAACCAAAAGAGAGCCCGCAUAGCCAAGUCAAUUCUAAGCAAAAAGAUCACAGUGGGGGGCGUCACACUACCGGGUUUCAAACUAUACUACAAGGCUACAGUAAUCAAAACAGCAUGGUACUGGUACCAAAACAGAGAUAUAGACCAAUGGAACAGAACAGAGGCAUCGGAGGCAACACAACAUAUCUGCAACCAUACAAUCUUUGAUAAACCUGACAAAAACAAGUAAAGGGGAAAGGAUUCCCUGUUUAAUAAAUGGUGUUGGGAAAACUGGCUAGCCAUGUGCAGAAAGCAGAAACUAGACCCCUUCCUGACACCUUACACUAAAAUUAACUCCAAAUGGAUUGAAGACUUAAACAUAAGACCUGGCACCAUAAAAACCCUAGAAGAAAAUCUAUGCAAAACCAUUCAGGACAUAGGAGUAGGCAAGGACUUCAUGAACAAAACACCAAAAGCAUUGGCAACAAAAGCCAAAAUAGACAAAUGGGACCUAAUGAAACUCCACAGCUUCUUCACAGCAAAAGAAACAGUCACUAGAGUGAAUCAGCAACCAACAGAAUGGGAAAAAAAUUUUGCAGUCUACCCAACUGACAAAGGGCUGAUAUCCAGAAUUUACAAAGAACUCAAACAGAUUUACAGAAAAAAAACCAAGCCCAUUCAAAAAUGGGCAAAGGAUAUGAACAGACACUUUACAAAAGAAGACAUACAUGAGGCCAACAAACAUAUGAAAAAAUGCUCAUCGUCACUGGUCAUUAGAGAGAUGCAAAUCAAAACCACAUUGAGAUACCAUCUCACGCCAGUUAGAAUGGCAAUCAUUAAAAAAUCUGGAGACAACAGAUGCUAGAGAGGAUGUUGAGAAAUAGGAACACUUUUACACUGCUGGUGGGAGUGUAAACUAGUUCAACCAUUGUGGAAGACAGUGUGGCGAUUCCUCAAGGCCUUAGAAAUAGAAAUUCCAAUUGACCCAGCAAUCCCAUUACUGGGUAUAUAUCCAAAGGUCUAUAAAUCGUUCUACUAUAAGGACACACACACACAAACGUUCAUCGCAGCACAGUUUACAAUAGCAAAGACCUGGAACCAAACCAAAUGCCCAUCGAUGAUAGACUGGAUUGGGAAAAUGUGGCACAUAUACACCAUGGAAUAUUAUGCAGCAAUCAAAAAUGAUGAGUUCGUGUCAUUUGUAGGGACAUGGAUGAAUCUGGAGAACAUCAUUCUCAGCAAACUGACACAAGAACAGAAAAUGAAAUACCGCAUAUUCUCACUCAUAGGCGGGUGAUGAAAAAUGAGAACACACAGACACAGGGAAGGGAGUACCAAAC